CAGCACUCAAGGUCUCUUCUAGGUGUUCUGCCAUGAAGGGAGUUGAAUUCUUCACUUGCUGGUCAACCUUCAAGCCCUUCAGACCUGCUUCUACCUCCUCCACUGAAAGCACAACCCCUGAAUGUGCUGAGAAGUUGAGAACGUCCAGGUUAAAUCAAGCAAAGAGAUAUCUGUCCCGCAGGUCCUUAUCGCUAAGACGGUGAUCCUUCUCAAAGGUCCGGGCAGAGAUUAUCCUCCCACUGCCAAUCCUACGUCCACCAAGCAGACGAAGCCCAUCACUAUCUUUCUCUAAUGGACUUCCUGAGCGCCGGGAGCUAACAGCAGCUGUCACGUGGCAGCCCCCUCCAAAGCUCCGUCUCUGAGGGCUGAGAACAACAUCUAAGUCAUCUUCUUUCACACGCUCUCGUGGAUCUGGAAGGACGUGGGAAAGACAAAGUUAAACAAACCAACAAGGGUGUUUUCUUCUUUUUUAGAUAGUAUGUCCAUGACUGAUGGGAGGA
rnacentral:antisense_RNA from 1 species